rnacentral:tRNA from 1 species
GGCCGUUUAGCUCAGUGGAUAGAGCGGAACUUUCCUACCGAGUGUGGAUGAGGUUCAGGUCCAAGGUUCGACCCCUUGAACGGUCG